rnacentral:rRNA from 1 species
CCUACGGGGGGCAGCAGUGAGGAAUAUUGGUCAAUGGCCGGAAGGCUGAACCAGCCAUGCCGCGUGAAGGUCAGUGCCCUAUGGGCGUUAAACUUCUUUUGUGCGGGAGCAAUAGUGGUCACGUGUGGCCAGACGAGAGUACCGUACGAAUAAGCAUCGGCUAACUCCGUGCCAGCAGCCGCGGUAAUACGGGGGAUGCAAGCGUUAUCCGGAUUUAUUGGGUUUAAAGGGUGCGUAGGCUGUGAGGUAAGUCAGCGGUGAAAUGCCCCCGCUCAACGGGGUGAAGUGCCAUUGAUACUGCCUGGCUGGAAUGCGGAUGACGUGGGAGGAAUGUGUGGUGUAGCGGUGAAAUGCAUAGAUAUCACACAGAACACCGAUUGCGAAGGCAUCUCACGAAUCCGCGAUUGACGCUGAUGCACGAAAGCGUGGGUAUCAAACAGGAUUAGAUACCCCGGUAGUC